UGGUACGGUCAUACCACGGCUAAUGCGCCCGAUCCCAUCCGAACUCGGAAGCCAAGCGCCGUUGGGCCGGAAUAGUACUGGGAUGGGUGACCUCCUGGGAAGUCCCGGUGCUGUACCUA
rnacentral:rRNA from 1 species